GGAGCGCGCACGCUGCCUUUCCCUGCGGCGUGUGGGAGCGCGCGCGCUGGGCGGGAGAUUGUCCGCCAGUUGGGCGAUUCCUAACGUAUUUUUUAUUUUAAAAACCAAACCUGGUUCGGGGGCGAACCUCCCCCCACCGUCUUAGCGGAACUCUCCGGAGCGGCUUUUACCUCAGAAUUUCCAGCUUGGGAUCGCGCCGUGCUAAAUGAUACUUAAUGUGUUUAUAUUUUUAAUUUCAGCCUGCCCUCUGUCAACGAACAUUCUUGAUCAUCCAUGAAACGCACAAAGAAGUUUGGAAAGCCAAAGGUGGAGGAAUGUGACACUUGGUUGGACACAAGGGAGCUGAGGAGGAGGAAAGUGGAGAUUUUCGUAGGAUCCCCACCAAGCGAAAGAGGCUAUUCAGCCCGUCGAGUCUGCAUCAUCACUCAGAAGAGCAUCCCACCCAAACCCAGUCGCCCAUUGCAACCCUGCAUCCACCACGGUCAAUCCACCUAACCUGCACAUCUGGGAGGAAACCGGAUCAACUAGCAGAAACCCAAGCAGACACCGAGAGAAUAUGCAAACUCAAAAUCUUCUGCUCAUGAUUUUGAAUGUGUUUUAGUGUUAUUACCUCAGGGAAUUUUUUUUCUCUCUCUAUCAGAGCAUCUCAUCAUCAUCUCAUUUACAUCACCUCCCAACCUUUGCUCCAAGGAGAAUAGUUUAAACUUUUCCAACUAUUCCUCCUAACUGAAGUCCCUUUUCCCUGAUAAAAUAUUUUUUAAAGCCUUUACCUCUUUGCUGGUAAGCCAUUUAGCGGUUGGAGGGUGCCUAGAAUCUUUGGAAUUCUCUACCAGGGAGGGCUGUGGAAGCCUAGUCAUUGAGUGAAUUUGAGGCAGAAGUUAAUAGAUUAAGGAAUUUAGGGAUAAUGUGGAAAUAUGGCAUUGAGGUAGAAGAUAGCCAUGAUCUAGUUGAAUGGUGGACCUGGUUUGAGGGGCCAAAUGGCCUACUACUGCAGUUUCUUAUGAAAUCUGGUGACAUGAAUCAUCCACAAUACUCUACCUGAAGCCUAAGCAGUACAUAAAUGAUCUGUUAUUGUCUCUGAUCUUCUCAGUUCGUGCUGAUGACAAGUUAUUCCUAAUUUGUUUUAUUUUUAAAUUUCUUUUCAGUCCCAUUUCAUUUCAAAGCUGCUGUAUCCGCUGUCCAGAAGGAAUUACACUGUUGAAGUUCCUCUAAAUUUCACUCAGACGAGGGCUCCUCAGCAGUGCGUCAAACAGACAACAGUCUCUUCCUUUUUCUUACCAAAGGCUAAAGGUAAACUAGCACACACCUCACAAACAUCAGUCCUGAGUGCUGUGGGUGCUGCCUCCCCAAAUUCUGUCAUUGAAAAGGGAACAUACACAGAUCAGCCUGAGCUGAUCACUGGCAAUUGCAGAGACAACUUUGGCAGCUCCACUCCUGUGGACCACCAGGAGAGGUUGCCAUCAAUCUUAAGCACUGUCCACUACAGCUUUGAGAGACUGCCUCUUUGUGGAACUACACAUGGCAACAGUACCCUCAUUCUAAAUGAGCAAAGCCACCAGAUAUUGGAGGAAAGACAGCAUUCCUGUCUUAAAGAUGGUGCCAACAUAAAUAUUGUUAAGUCUGAGCUCCCAUCUGCACAUGAUGCAGGAGUAACAUAUGCAUCUGUUGACACUUCGAGUGAGCCUCCUGAUGAUUUUACUCAGCUGGAUUUCACUCAAGACUUGCAAGGAAAUCGAGUUAUCUCGCACACGAAGGCGAUCAGAUCACCAGGUGUGAAUUACGUAUCAUGCAAGGGAAUGCCUGUUGCUGAUGGGAAAUCCACUGACUUACCUCCUGCUGAGUCAGAAAUCCUGUGCACGCAGAGUUUUGAAGCAGGGUUACUUGGCAUGCUUACUUCCACACAACAAACUGUGGACAGACAAAAGAAGUUAUCGAAAAGGAAAGCGGUGGCACAUUUGCCCAAGAAAUUAAACUCUGAUUGUUACAAAGAUAUAUUUCCAGAGAACAAGGAAAAUGUCUUUGGGUCCAUGUUGAACUUGAAUCCAAAAUCUUUAAAAAGACCACCGCUGUCACCAGGAACCACCUCACUUCUACGCUGUCAGAAUGUACCCCAAGGUACUGAGGCUUUCCAACAGCCUAAAACUGCAUGCAGAGAUGAGAAUGUGCUGUCAUUCCUGUUCAGCCAAGACUCUCAGGGAAACAGAGUCAUCUCCCACCGGUGCACAGACAGCAGGUGUGGAGCAGUCUUUUCCGACAACCAGAACUCUCCAUUGGGCCCUUGCAGCAUUGACAUCAGCGGGAACACAAGCUGUAAUGUUCCUCUGAAAAGGAAGCUGCAUCAUUCAGGCCUCUGUUGUGAAUCACCCUGCAUGGCACAGUCAAAAUACGAUGACAUGUUCUGUCCACAAGCAGAUUUGCUGUUUACACAAGAUUCUGAAGGCAAUGCAGUGAUCAAACAUUGAUAAGGGUGGAUGUAUUGACUGUUAUUUUGUUUCUUUGGUUGCCUCCUUUCUCCCUCAUGUCCUGUAGGCAAACUGAAGACAUUAUAAACAAAUAAAGAUUUUUCUAGUGAAA